GGGGAAUAUUGGACAAUGGGCGAAAGCCUGAUCCAGCCAUGCCGCGUGUGUGAAGAAGGCCUUUUGGUUGUAAAGCACUUUAAGCGAGGAGGAGGCUACUGAGAUUAAUACUCUUGGAUAGUGGACGUUACUCGCAGAAUAAGCACCGGCUAACUCUGUGCCAGCAGCCGCGGUAAUACAGAGGGUGCGAGCGUUAAUCGGAUUUACUGGGCGUAAAGCGUGCGUAGGCGGCUUUUUAAGUCGGAUGUGAAAUCCCUGAGCUUAACUUAGGAAUUGCAUUCGAUACUGGGAAGCUAGAGUAUGGGAGAGGAUGGUAGAAUUCCAGGUGUAGCGGUGAAAUGCGUAGAGAUCUGGAGGAAUACCGAUGGCGAAGGCAGCCAUCUGGUCUAAUACUGACGCUGAGGUACGAAAGCAUGGGGAGCAAACAGGAUUAGAUACCCUGGUAGUCCAUGCCGUAAACGAUGUCUACUAGCCGUUGGGGCCUUUGAGGCUUUAGUGGCGCAGCUAACGCGAUAAGUAGACCGCCUGGGGAGUACGGUCGCAAGACUAAAACUCAAAUGAAUUGACGGGGGCCCGCACAAGCGGUGGAGCAUGUGGUUUAAUUCGAUGCAACGCGAAGAACCUUACCUGGUCUUGACAUAGUAAGAACUUUCCAGAGAUGGAUUGGUGCCUUCGGGAACUUACAUACAGGUGCUGCAUGGCUGUCGUCAGCUCGUGUCGUGAGAUGUUGGGUUAAGUC
rnacentral:rRNA from 1 species